GCACUGAAUGGAUUGAGUUAUUCUUUAUUUAUUAAUAAAUUUAUAUAAGUACUUUUAAGUCCGUCUUACAGAAAAUUUUAAAUCUUCUAACCGAAAAAAUUUUUUAUUGUAACUCGCCUUUCUUCUUAUUUAUUUGCUGCACUUUGAUUUGUAUUAGAUUUUAAAAUAAAGUUUUGAAUUUACCUCGAGGUAAGUUCAGGACAACGGUAUACAAGCUUUAGUAAGUAAGUAGCAUAUUCUUGGUGGUUAUCAAUUACAUGGUAAGUUCCCCUAAAAUACUACAUUCAGCCGCCAUAAUAUUUAAGUUUAGGCCUAGUAAUAAGCAUUAAUUCUUGUUUAAAUUUACUAAUCUCCGUAUAACUGGGUAUCUAAUCCAGGUUUAAAUUAGGAGGUUAUAAAGUAUAAAUGUAGUUAAUUUAUAAAUUUAACAGAAUUUCACCCCCUAUUAAAAUUUUAGGCAUAUAAGAUUAUUAAACAAUUACUGUAAAUUUGCCUAACAGGUAUGACCGCGGUUGCUGGCACCUAAUUAACCUAGGCUACAUAAUUAUCUAAAUUAAAAUUUCUUUUAUUGUUUAAAAUUUUUAACUGGAGUAAGUGUACACAUUCCAUAUUAAGUUAUAUUAUAAACUUACAGAACCAUUAUAUUAAAGUGGUAAAUCUAAGGGGGUUAACAACCAUUUUAGA
rnacentral:rRNA from 1 species